rnacentral:ncRNA from 1 species
AAGUGAGGACGACCUCACCGCUCUACUUCAUCAGGGACGGCCCU